ACUGCCCCUAGAGGCAUUACAUGUAUGGCUGCUGUGUCACAUGUGUGUCAGUAGGUGGCAGAGAGGCAAAAGGUUAUAUCUAAGCUUCAUGUUCUGACCUGUGAACAUCUGAAUGAGUAGUAGCCUAACAUU